rnacentral:lncRNA from 1 species
CGAACUUCCUGCAAUCUAUAAUGAUAAUCAUGUAAUUAAGUGUAUUCAUUAUUCACACAAGUCAUUCAAUCGAAAGUAAGAGACAGAAUACCUUAGUUGAAGCUUGUUAAAAAGUGGAACCAAUACCAAUUAAUUGAGGAAAUUCAAACAGAAACUGAAAACAGAUGCAGAAUCGGGACUAGAAGUCAUCAACAACAAAAGAAUUACAAUCGCCUUCUCUGAAUAAAGAGAACCACAAUUGGAGAGGGAGGAAGAGCACAGGAUUUUGGAAUUCAAUUAGAGCAACAUUCAAGCAAGUAUAUUAGUGGGCUCACGGCUGAUGGCUGAUUGAAUGGUUGAUGGGCGAUUGAAGGGUGGUAAUUUGGGAGAGAACGGCAAUUGGAGAGAGCAGGAAAAAAUCGCAGGAAGAGGAAAGACGUCGACUGUGCUUUGUAG